AGUCUUUUUUUCACCUGCGAUGGCUGAACAUCAGAAGCACUCAACCAUGUGUUCAUAAACGCAGUAUAUUUCUGUGAUGGCUCCUUCAACAUUCCCUGUCAACAGUCUGAACCUGCUCUAGAAUGCAUUACAUGACAGAAGCUAAUAUGUGACACCUGAAAGAGGUGGUGUGGGAACAUAAAAUCAUACAGGCUGGUUUGAUCUACAUCAAAGUCUCUCUACAUCCUUCUGGGGACUCAAGAAGGCGGCUGAGUACAAAGACUUCAAAAGAACCAGGUCUUUUGAACUGUUCUGAUGCCCAAUGAUUAAAACUACCCCUGGCCUGAGUGACAUCUGUGCAAAUCCCAGCCAUUGAAAUCAACUGGGCAUCAUUCUUAUCACACUGUUCCCAGAUGUGCUGGAGCAACAUUUGUCAUUUCAUCUGCAUCAAUCUCUAAAGUGUGUCAAUGUUUAGCGGAACAGCUUUUGUUGGAAUGAAAAACAUCGGAGGGCAGGCAAACUUUUUGAGGUAUUUCAAGUCAAAGGCUAUAGUAUCAAAGCUUUUUGGUUCAGUGCAAUUACGUUUGAAUAUUGCUUAUGAGUGUACACAGGAAAUCUUCUGAAUUCCCUGAAUCCACAUUUGACCUCGUUUAAUUUGUAGUCAUUAAGUAUCCUGAAUACAUCCAUAAAGCUGUAAUAAAAAGUUAUUCUUAUUAAAAAACAAAAGGGUAAUUGUAUACACUUUUUUUACUCUUCUGUCUCUCUAUGUGGCAUCUUCCCUGUGUGACAACAAGCCCCAGUCUCCCCUAAUGCUUUAUCAUUUAUAACAGAAAUAGAAAGAAGUCUUAUUUCCUCACUGUGAAUUAAGUUAUCUUUCCCACACUUUUUGCAAGGCAGCAAAGGAAGGCUCACCCUCCUACUGACAGUUAUUCCCUAAAGAGAGAACAACAGCUGACAGUUAAUGACCCAGUUAUGCAAAUUCAGUCCUAUAGCAGUUUGUUUGCUGCUAGUUUCAAGCAUCCAUUAAAAUAAAGAAUGCCUAGCAGAGGAACCGUUACCUUCACUGUGAGCUCUCAGAGCUGAAGGCACACUGUAAAUUCAUGCUUGCCCAGGAGAAUCCAUUUAAUGAGCAUAGAAAAUGUACAAGAUAUGACAAUAUCAACCCCAUUUUCCAUUAUCGAGCUUAAUUUUAGAUUCAGCUUUUGUUUCAGUUCACUUGUUACAGAGAGUUCUUGUCAGAUUUUAUUUACAUAGCAAUGACAAUCUUAGCAUGAGCCAGUGAGCAUGCAUCUUAACCCUG